rnacentral:rRNA from 1 species
CGAACGGGUGAGUAACGCGUGAGGAACCUGCCUCAAAGAGGGGGACAACAGUUGGAAACGACUGCUAAUACCGCAUAAGCCCACGGCUCGGCAUCGAGCAGAGGGAAAAGGAGCAAUCCGCUUUGAGAUGGCCUCGCGUCCGAUUAGCUAGUUGGUGAGGUAACGGCCCACCAAGGCGACGAUCGGUAGCCGGACUGAGAGGGUGAACGGCCACAUUGGGACUGAGACACGGCCCAA